AGGUAGGAGAGAAUUUGUUGAUUUCAAAGAUUUGUAAGAAAAGCUGAGAAACAAUGAGCAAAGGGAAGUGAGUGCUUGAUAAGGCUAAAGACGUUUCAGGGGUGAGAUCAUGUGAGGAUUUGUAUGCUGUAUUAAGGAUUAGGGGAUUUAUCCUAAGUGCAGUGGGAAUUUUCUGAAGAAUUUUAAGAGGAAAGUGACAUUAUCUGAUUUAUAUUUUUAAUCAUAUAUAUGGAGAAUGGAAGGGGAUGUGGAGAAGAUGUGGGGAGAUGAAGAAGAGUGUGAACAUUUGAGAAAAAUAAGGAGGUAAAAUUGGCAGGAUACGAUGAUGGACUGGUUAUGGGUGGUGAGAAAGAAGGACAGAUCAAAAGUUACCCUCAGGUUUCUGGCAUGAGCCACUGGGUAGAUGGAAGUGCCACUUAUUGAGAUGGAAAACGAGGGGCAGGUGUUGGAGAUCAGUUUUGGAGAUGAUAAAUUUUAAAAGUCUGUGAGACAUUCCUGUAAGAGAUUGGUCUCGAGGAACCAAGAGAAGGUAGUAUGUAGCGAAGGCAGGAGUGAUCAACUGGGUUAAGUCCUGAGAAUUACAAUAAGAACCAAAAAGUGUCUGCUGGAUUUAGAAACAUGGCAGUUAUUAAGGACUUCAGCAAGAGCAGUUUUAAUGGAGGCUGGCAAAGAAGCCCUAUACAUUGGGGUCAAAAGUUAAUUGGAAGCAAGCAAUGAAGACUUUGUAUAGACAACUUUCCUAAUACAAUUGUCUGUCUGUGAAAGGAAGUAAAGAGAAAACUGAGCAGGAACGUGGAGUCAAAGGAAGUUUUUUCGUGGGGUUUGGUUUUAGGAUGGGCGGUGCUUGGUUAUGUCUGAAUGCAGAUAGAUUCCAGUAGAGAGAAAUGUAGAAGAUGUCGAGGAAAGAAGAAUAAAGUGCUAGUUAGGGUCAUGAUUAAUGGUAACCAUUGUGACAAAAGGAUCUGGCAAUAUAUAAUAGGUCAGACACAAUAGAAAUUUAUUUCUCAGUCACACAAAGUUCUUAAGAUAGAACUCUUAAGAUAGAAGCUCUUAACGGCAGGUGGGACUCUCCAACUGAAGAUUCAGAGACUCAGGCUCCAGCCAUCUUGUGGACCCCUCAUCAGGAGUAUAUGGUUCCAUGUUUGCUGUGCCCCUUUUAUCAAACAAGAGAGAAAACUUGUGACUGAAAGGGACACUCCAAAAAGAAUUUCAAUGAGGCCCAACUUGAGGAAAAACAAUAAGUUGCCCAGAUUGCUUGGAUCAUGGACAGAGGGCUUGGCGUGUGGAAUGAAUGUCAUCAGCUGAGAACACAGCCUUGACUGGUAGCUAUGGAGCCUGCUGCCCACGUGGUCCCCUCAGGCUGGCUUCCUGAUGAAUACUAUUUGGUCAAAAGAAGAAGGAAAAACAGAAAGAACCCCUCCCAGCUGAGCCGAAUCCAUUUAAGCAGCCUUUCUGGACUUUGCAGCUAGGAAUUAUACUUUCAUACCUUUGACAGAAAACAGUCA